CUGCCCAUGCAAGACCAAUUCUACGUUUUAUUUCUGCAGUUUGUCAUCGUCAAUGUUUGUCAUGAUUUUCGUUUUCGACAAAUUCAUCUUGAGACCGACUUUGUUUGACUCCUCAUUCAACUGUUGUAACAUAAUUUCCGCCUGAUCUAGAUCAGCUGCCAUCAGGGAGAUGUCAUCUGAGUAACGGAGAUUACUCAGAAUCGAUGUGAAUAACUUAGGUGAUAUGGUGUCACCCUGUCGUACACCUCUGCCAGUUCUGAAUUUUUCCGUGCUUUUAUGGAGUUUUAUACACGACGUAGCGUUUUUAUAGACGUAUCGAAUUGCGUUGGAGUACCUUGAGUCUACUCUGCACUCGUCUAAUGAGUCCAAUAUCAACUAUAUUUCCACUGAAUCAAAAGCUUUUUCAAAGUCAAUGAAUAUCAAGACCACAGCAAUCUUGCAUUCGUUGCAUUUCUCGAUUAGCGUUCUUAUCACAUGUAAGUGGUCGUUUGUGGUGAAUCCUGAUCUAAAUGCAGCUCGUUCAACAGAUUGGUAUAAGUCGAGCUUCUUGGUGUUCCUCUUUGUAACGAUUUUCAUGAACAACUU